UUCAUCCCUGUUGAUGACAAUUACUCUUUGGUGGUUAUCAUUAUCCAAUAUUCGGUAUUGAUAUUCCCUCUUUUUGUGGAUAAUUGCUCCGAGCAAGCAAUUCUAUCCCCCAGUGGGUCCUUUCACCGUUUGUCAGUGAUAUGUUCCUAGGAUCAUUGAUUUUUUAUCAAUAUCCCUUGCGAGUCAUCUUUCAUCUACCCUUUUG
rnacentral:lncRNA from 1 species